UCGGAGGAGGGUCUGGCGGUCGGAGGAGUGGGUGGUGUUGCAGGCAGGAGAAAACCAAAGCUCGAUCGUGAACUCGGUGAGAGGCGGGAGGAAGAAGCCA
rnacentral:SRP_RNA from 12 species